rnacentral:rRNA from 1 species
CGGGUGAGUAACACGUGGAUAACCUACCUAUAAGACUGGGAUAACUUCGGGAAACCGGAGCUAAUACCGGAUAAUAUUUUGAACCGCAUGGUUCAAAAGUGAAAGACGGUCUUGCUGUCACUUAUAGAUGGAUCCGCGCUGCAUUAGCUAGUUGGUAAGGUAACGGCUUACCAAGGCAACGAUGCAUAGCCGACCUGAGAGGGUGAUCGGCCACACUGAAUUGAGACACGGUCCAGACUCCUACGGGAGGCAGCAGCG